GGGCGUUUAACUCAGAGGCUAGAGUGCGACCUUCACACGGUCGAAGUCACUGGUUCGACUCCAGUAACGCCCA
rnacentral:tRNA from 1 species